AGGAGGUGAGAUCUCAAAGACAACCAGGAUGUUGGCUUAGAAGCAGCCAUACAUUCAAAGAGUGCGUAAUAGCUCACUGGUCGAGAGGUCUUGCACCGAAGAUGUCCGGGGCUCAAAUCUGCUACCGAAGCUAUGGAUGUACGAAAGUACGUGGUAGGGGAGCAUCGUAUACGGAGCGAAGCCAUAUCGUAAGGAGUGGUGGACUGUAUACGAGAGAGAAUGCUGGCAUAAGUAACGAAAGAUAGGUGAGAAUCCUAUCCAUCGAAAACCUAAGGUUUCCUGAGGAAGGUUCGUCCACUCAGGGUUAGUCGGGACCUAAGUCGAGGCCGAAAGGCGUAGAUGAUGGACAAUCGGUUGAAAUUCCGAUACCACCUUUAAGCGUUUAAGAAAAGGGGUGACGCAGGAGGAUAAGCUGAGCGCACGGAUGGAAAAGUGCGUCUAAGAACUAAGUCAGACCUUCAAGGAAAAUCCGGGAGGUGACGAUAAGGUUUAAUGGGGAGCCGUAAGGCGAAGCAGCUGAAUUCACACUGCCAAGAAAAGCCUCUAUCGAGCAAGAAGGUGCCCGUACCGCAAACCGACACAGGUAGGUGAGGAGAGAAUCCUAAGAUGAGCGAGAGAACCCUUGUUAAGGAACUCGGCAAAUUAACCCCGUAACUUCGGGAGAAGGGGUACUCAAAAGAGUCGCAGUUAAAAGGCCCAAGCAACUGUUUAGCAAAAACACAGGUCUCUGCUAAGUCGCAAGACGAUGUAUAGGGGCUGACGCCUGCCCGGUGCUGGAAGGUUAAGGGGAGAGGUUAGCGAAAGCGAAGCUUUAAACUUAAGCCCCAGUAAACGGCGGCCGUAACUAUAACGGUCCUAAGGUAGCGAAAUUCCUUGUCGGGUAAGUUCCGACCCGCACGAAUGGCGUAAUGACUUGGGCACUGUCUCAACAAGGGACUCGGUGAAAUUGUAGUACCGGUGAAGAUGCCGGUUACCCGCGAUUAGACGGAAAGACCCCGUAGAGCUUUACUGUAGCUUAUCAUUGAGUUUCGGUAUUGUCUGUACAGGAUAGGUGGGAGGCUUAGAAGUAGGGGCGUCAGCUUCUAUGGAGCCAACGUUGGGAUACCACCCUGACAGUACUGAAACUCUAACCGGAGGCUUUGAAACAAGUCACGGGACAUUGUUAGGUGGGCAGUUUGACUGGGGCGGUCGCCUCCUAAAAAGUAACGGAGGCGCCCAAAGGUUCCCUCAGCGCGGUUGGAAAUCGCGCGCAGAGUGCAAAGGCAGAAGGGAGCCUGACUGCGAGACAAACAAGUCGAGCAGAGACGAAAGUCGGGCUUAGUGAUCCGGUGGUUCCGAGUGGAAGGGCCAUCGCUCAACGGAUAAAAGCUACCUCGGGGAUAACAGGCUGAUCUCCCCCAAGAGUCCACAUCGACGGGGAGGUUUGGCACCUCGAUGUCGGCUCGUCGCAUCCUGGGGCUGAAGUAGGUCCCAAGGGUUGGGCUGUUCGCCCAUUAAAGCGGUACGCGAGCUGGGUUCAGAACGUCGUGAGACAGUUCGGUCCCUAUCUGUCGCGGGCGUAGGAAAUUUGAAAGGAGCUGUCCUUAGUACGAGAGGACCGGGAUGGACAGACCUAUGGUGUACCAGUUGUCACGCCAGUGGCACCGCUGGGUAGCUAUGUCUGGAAGGGAUAAGCGCUGAAAGCAUCUAAGCACGAAGCCCACCUUAAGAUAAGAUUUCCCAUUAAGGUUCCUUAAAGAACAUGAGGUUGAUAGGUCGGAGGUGUAAGUACUGUGAGGUACUCAGCUGACCGAUACUAAUAGGCCGAGUGCUUGAUCAU
rnacentral:rRNA from 1 species